rnacentral:misc_RNA from 1 species
UCUCCGUUGGUGAACCAGCGGAGGGAUCAUUACAGGAUCGAAAGACUCCUAUAACCCCUGUGAACUUACUACAAAUACGUCGCUUCGGCGGGUGCCCCGGGUCUCCCGGGGCGUUCAGCCCGCCGGCAGCCUUCAAAUUCUGUUUCUUUGCGUUGGCAUCUCGAGUAUACAAAAAUAAGUUAAAACUUUCAACAACGGAUCUCUUGGUUCUG